rnacentral:lncRNA from 10 species
UACUGAAGGGUUGGUAGGGGACCAGAGAAUAGAGGAAGCAUUGUAGGUUCUAGAGUGGAGAAGGGACCAUCCAAAAUGGAGUUUGAAAGAGAAUUCUGGCCUUUGUGUUUAGAGUCUGGAAUUGUCAAGAGUCUGAAAGCACAGAAUAAGACUGCAGCUAGAGCAAUUUAGGCGCCAUAGUUUGUCAAAACAGGACUCUAGCCCUGAUCUGCUCUCUUCUGGGAGCAUCUGAUAGAACAAACAGAAACCCCUCUCCCACUGUUCUCCUGUGUCCAGAGUGGGAGGCAUAACUGCUUUGCCUCCAGUCAUCAUCUGGGGGCAUAUCUACUCUUCGAGGACCAGGGGUUCGGGACCCUGGAACAGGAUCUGAAUUCCAAGCUGACCUCAGGGGUACAUGAAGACUGCUAGAUGAGACGGGAUCUCACUGUGUUGCCCAGGCUGGUCUCGAACUGCUGGACUCAAGUCAUCCUCCCAUCUUGGCCUCCCAAAGUGCUGGAAUUACAGUGGACAACCUUCAAUGCACUGGUACUUUGUACCCUGACCUCUACUGUGAUGAACACUCAACUUGGGCAAGGAAGUGAAAUUCUCCAAAGGAAUUAUUAAGAUAAGGACCAGCAGUACAAUGAGCUUUUCACUGUAUGUCUGACCUGAAAGAAGAAAAUCUUUUCAGAGGACUCCUCUCUCCCCUUCAGUCGCCAAGACAAUGAGAGCUCUUGCUACAGAAUACUCAUGGUCAUUUCUUCCCCU